GACGUAGGGCGCGAGCGUUGUCCGGAUUCACUGGGCGUAAAGGGUGCGCAGGCGGCCAAGUGUGUGAGGCGUGAAAGCCCGGGGCUUAACCCCGGAAUUGCACCUCAAACUACAUGGCUAGAGCAUUGGAGAGGGUAGCAGAAUUCAUGGUGUAGCAGUGAAAUGCGUAGAUAUCAUGAGGAAUACCAGAGGCGAAGGCGGCUACCUGGACAAUUGCUGACGCUCAGGCACGAAAGCGUGGGGAGCAAAAGGG
rnacentral:rRNA from 1 species